GCUGAAUCAAAGAAUAAUAAGGACCAGGCUUGGCUGAAGUGGAGCGUUUGGGCUGGAUGAAGAGAAGACAUGAGGAAACCGAGACAUUCAGGAGCUUAAGAGUUCUCACAACAAGGAAGAACCUGAACUGAGAUUCAAACUCAGCUCACCUUGUUGGCUUGGGGCAGCAGCUGGGCCCCUGCCAGAUCCUCCUGCUGGAUCAGCUUCCCUGAGUCCUGGACCAGAUGCGUAUUCAGCUCCGUGAUGGAAGACACCAGCUUCUCCUUCAUCCAGCUUGUCUUUGCUUGCUCUCCUUCACAUCCAUCUUCUUUUCCCAACUGCCUGUGGACUUCAGGUGCCAGCAGGAGACACAGAAACAGCUUCACAUUCUUACUUAGACCACUUAACCAGCUCCCACAGUGCGAUAAGCCAACACUUACUGAGAGCUGACUAUGGAGCCCGCCCCUUUACACACAGUUUCUCACUGAAGCCUCAGAACAACCCUGCAGUGUAGGAUGUGGACAUCAUGGCCUCAGGCUCCGAAAGAGUCAAAGAGCUAAGUGAAAGUGUUCCUUUAUCUAAUACCUUGGGGGCUUGCGCUUAUGCGGUUUUCAGCUGUGUUCCGGGAAGAAGCUCUAAGUGACAACCGCCAUGAAACCAGCUGCACUGAACCGGCCCAGGAUGGCCUGGACCACAACCACAAGACUGGCACCUGCACGGAUGGGCUCAGAGUUGUACCAAAGUAACCUGCCCUUAUUAACCUCGUAAAUUCCCCUCCUGUGGGAGGGGCGGAGCAGCCAUUUUUAGAUCAUGCGAUAUAUGUAAAAGCACGAUUUCAAACUAUGCAUGUGUAAGCUUAUGCCCACCUCUACAUGUGAUGAUGAAACUUCCCC
rnacentral:lncRNA from 1 species